CCGCUUCACAGUUAUUGGGGGGACCACCCUGGAGAUCAGGCUCUGGCACAUGCUGGCAUACAGCAUGACAAACGAGCUGGCCUCAGGCCUAAACUGGGCCGGCAAGAAAAUCAAGGAAGUACCCAAACAGAAGCGGUCCUUUAAGGAAAUGGCCCUCUGCAAAUGCAUGUUUGAUGCCUUGACUCAACGACCUAGCACAGCAAAUACCUAUGAAUUUUCACAAGCUGUGCAGAAGUGGGUGCGCUACGCCCCAGAUUGGGCGGGAGGAGCUGGACAACUGACCCUGCAGCAGUUGUAACACGUUAAAAGAAAAAAA